UUUAGGAUUGGGCAUUUUGCCAUUUAGGAUUGGGGAUUUGGUAUUUAGGAUUGGGGUUUUGUAUAUUUUGUGGUUUUGUGGUUUUGGGGAUUUGGGGAUUUGAGGAUUGAGGAGACCCAAAGGCUGCAGGGAGGGUUUGGAAAGGCUGAGGCGCAGAGGCACUUUAUGGACUGCAGGGGGAGCUCUGACUGCCAGAACACUGCCAUGAAAGCAAGCAGAGGAAGUGAGCAGGGCUGGAGGGAAGACUAUCAUUUAUAAUAUCAUAACCAAAAGUGUACAGCAUUUCUGUCCAUGUGGUCUCACACACAAAGUCAACAGUGAAAGGAAUGCUAUCCAUCUGACAAGAAAGAAGUGGACAGUACAGCAGACAAAGAUGUGUCACAGCUUUGGAUCAACCAUCUGCAGCAGAGUCCCGGUCCACUGGGUCACACCACAAGUUGGAAAUUACAGCUACAGCUGAUUCAGUAACUUCUGGAUCCACUCGGGACUUUUUCUCUCACUUAGACAUAAUUUACUCUUCAUUGAAGGCUUGUAUUUUAUCUUGCAGAGUUUCUAUGUGAUCUAUAAUUACCUUGUUUAAUUUUGCUCAUUAUAUUAUGCAUAUAAAUAGCACAGAGGUGCAGUCUGACGGGA